UACGGAGGGUGCAAGCGUUAAUCGGAAUUACUGGGCGUAAAGCGCACGCAGGCGGUUGGAUAAGUUAGAUGUGAAAGCCCCGGGCUCAACCUGGGAAUUGCAUUUAAAACUGUCCAGCUAGAGUCUUGUAGAGGGGGGUAGAAUUCCAGGUGUAGCGGUGAAAUGCGUAGAGAUCUGGAGGAAUACCGGUGGCGAAGGCGGCCCCCUGGACAAAGACUGACGCUCAGGUGCGAAAGCGUGGGGGGCAAGCAGG
rnacentral:rRNA from 1 species